rnacentral:lncRNA from 1 species
CGCCCCUUUCCUCUCAUCCGACUCUUCCUCCUCAACACUUCCUCCUCUUUCCUUCCGCCCUCACCUCCAUCACCCGCGCCACCUCCUCCCACUUGUGCACCGCCGCUUCCAGCUCUGCGCCCGCGGCCUCCAGCUCUGCGGCCUCCAGCUCUGCGGCCUCCAGCUGUGCGGCCUCCAGCUCCGCGGCCGUGGCCUCCAGCUCCGCGGCGGCCACUUCCAACUCCGCGCGCCGCCUCCUCCAGCAUCGUAGCCGCCGCCUCCAGCUCCGCACGCCGUCGCCUCGAGCUUCGCGGCCGCCGCCUACAACUCCAAAACCCCUGCUCCUCUAUCGAUCUGAGGUACUCCCCUCUCUCUCUCUCUCUCUCUCUCUCUCUCUCAGAGUUGUGACCUCAAUUGUUUAAUUUGAGAUUCGAGAUUAGCUUGUCUUGCUGCCAAAGAUCUAUUUUUUUCUUCCAACACAUCUAAAUAUUCCUACAACUCAAUACUUUAGAGUAGGUGAGUUGAGUGUUGUAUCCUGCAUGUAUGCGUGGGGCUUUAUAUAGGUCUCUAAAUGAAGCUUCACAACUAAUGAAAUUGUUCUCUAUUAUAUUAAUUUAAUAAAGAGAUUUGAUUGACCAUUCUGAUUUACUUAAGGAUCCUAGGGUUGCUGUGAAGUUCAUGGUAGUUUUCUAGAAUUGACUUGCAAUCUGGUUUUCAUCAGCAAGGUUCAAGUCCUUAUCAAUAGCUUGACCAUUUGGUGUAUGCUAUACGACUAGUGUACUAACAUAUAGAGCUUUUGUCUCAGAUCACCAUUAGACACAUGUUCAUGAGUGGAUGUGCUAACAGGAGUGUUGAGGGUUAACAGUUUGGUUAUCUAUGGUAAAAGAGUGUAAUAAAAAUCAAGUGCCUAGACAUUUGUUGCAAGACAUUUUGGACAUUUUUAUAUUGGUGGAUUAGAGUAUUGGUAUAGUAUCAGAUCCAUUAUAUAAUGUCAUGCGUUCUAUUGAUCCAAUUAAAUAAAUGAGAAACACCCCUACAAAUAUGAGAAGGUUGUUGUUUGGACUGGUUCUUUAGACAAGAGAAACUUAAAAAAAGGCCCCUUGUGUCACAAAAGAAAAGGUUUACUAUGAUUCAGCAAUAUAUAUCAUAUACUUCCAUCAAAAUAUUUCAUCAAACAAAAUGAGAAUAGAGGUUUAUUGAGAGCAGAAUGAGCUAAUUGGAUAAAAAGAUAUAAUUCACCACACUAGUCAUCAAACUAAUUCAUAAUUUGGAGUUCACAAGAGAAAACAGAAUAAUUUAGAGAGCAAAAUAUGAUUCAACACAACCUGCAUAUAUCUUAAUCAAAACCCACAUAUUAAUCAAAAUACCAUAUGAUUCAGCCCAUCUAGUUAAGCUUUUUUGAGAUCACUGGAACUGUCAUGGAAGCAUUACGAGUUACAACAACACAAAGCCACGCACAAAGUAAACAUUACAAUAAAGUAAAACAAAGCCUACUAAAACACCAGCACUCGAGAUAUAUAUAAAAAAGAAAAAGCACGAAAUUGAAAAAGAGAAACUAAACAUUAGUUAAUUACGCAGUCCGUCCUCAUAAGCAAUGACUACUAAAUUAUUAUAUUCUUUGAUAAACUAGCUUUCGAGUUUGAGAGAUUCCUGAGUUCAUAUCAGAGGUAGCCAGGGUGGAAAGAAUCCCCAAAAAAAAACAAAAAAAGAGAACCCUUUAGCUAGAAAGGUACACCUUCUCUUCUUAUAUAAAGAUCACUGGAAUUAUCACAGAAUCAUUACAGAGUAAUAGCAACAUAAUGUUUUUCCAUAGCUAACAAACCGUCACUAAUAUUUUUUGAUAGCUGACAAACAAAAUAAAAUAAUACACCUCACAAAAUGCGAUUAUCUUACCUGUUGUAUCAGAAGGGGAUGAAGGUAAAUCAGACCCAAUUGAAGAUGGCCCAACACGACUCGGUGUUGUCGUUGCCCAUGACGAAGAGGUACCGAAAUAGACAUAGGGUGAAAUUCGCCGUUUUCGGCGGUUCGGAACCCACCUCGACUUGCUAUGUUGUCGCCGAUAAAAGAAAAGCUGCGCGCGACUCUUCUCGCGGUUUUCCGAAAUUACUACACAUGACAACAGAUUUCGAAUUACAAUUCAAGAACUGGAAUUUUCAAUCGAGCUUAAAUCACGCAAAUUG